CUACGGGUGGCUGCAGUGGGGAAUAUUGGACAAUGGGGGAAACCCUGAUCCAGCAAUGCCGCGUGUGUGAAGAAGGCCUGCGGGUUGUAAAGCACUUUCGGUUGGGAGGACUGCUUCUAGCACUAAUAUUGUUGGAAGUUGACGUUACCUUCAGAAGAAGCACCGGCUAGCUCCGUGCCAGCAGCCGCGGUAAUACGGAGGGUGGCAAGCGUUAAUCGGAAUUACUGGGCGUAAAGCGCGCGUAGGCGGCUAGAUCAGUCGGGUGUGAAAGCCCCGGGCUUAACCUGGGAACUGCAUCCGAUACUGUCUAGCUUGAGUACAGGGGGGGAGAGUGGAAUUCCACAUGUAGCGGUGAAAUGCGUAGAUAUGUGGAGGAACACCAAUGGCGAAGGCAGCUCUCUGGCCUGAUACUGACGCUGAGGUGCGAAAGCGUGGGGAGCAAACAGGAUUAGAUACCCUCGUAGUC
rnacentral:rRNA from 1 species